rnacentral:rRNA from 1 species
AUUGAACGCUGGCGGCAGGCCUAACACAUGCAAGUCGAGCGGAGGAAGGGAGCUUGCUCCUGGAGUCAGCGGCGGACGGGUGAGUAAUGCCUAGGAAUCUGCCUGGUAGUGGGGGAUAACGUCCGGAAACGGGCGCUAAUACCGCAUACGUCCUGAGUGAGAAAGUGGGGGAUCUUCGGACCUCACGCUAUCAGAUGAGCCUAGGUCGGAUUAGCUAGUUGGUGGGGUAAAGGCCUACCAAGGCGACGAUCCGUAACUGGUCUGAGAGGAUGAUCAGUCAGACUGGCACUGAGACACGGUCCAGACUCCUACGGGAGGACGCAGUGGGGAAUAUUGGACAAUGGGCGAGAGCCUGAUCCAGCCAUGCCGCGUGUGUGAAGAAGGUCUUCGGAUUGUAAAGCACUUUAAGUUGGGAGGAAGGGCAGUAAGUUAAUACCUUGCUGUUUUGACGUUACCAACAGAAUAAGCACCGGCUAACUUCGUG